AAAAAGAUAGGGAAAUGCAAAAUUUUGGCAGUAAAACGGCGAUUUUAAGCGCAGUGACCGAUCAAUCUUCAUUUUCUGCACGAAUUUUGCAAAUAAAUGGCACACUGCGUCUUCUUAGCGAAAGGGAAUUGAACGAAUACCAUUUUUAACGGCGAAAAUGAGAAAAGACACCCGAAGGAGUGAGAAUUUCUGGCAAUCUGAGGAUUCGAUUCUGUAGACCUGAACUCCAGCUGGAACUAGCUUGGCAACUUUAUAUGUGAGUUUUUUUUCUCUAGCUCAUAUAUAUGAAAUUAUCAAUAUAUUUUUGUGAAGUGCAAUGUUGUAUGAAAGGGUUGUCGUUAAUUUAAACAUUGCAUAAACAGCAUUCAAUUACGAAAAAUAUGAACAUCAACAUUCAACAUGGACUGAUGGACUUGGACAUGGAGCCACAGUACUCUAAAGUUCUCAUAUAGACUUUAUUUAACUUAUAUGUUGACCCAAUGGUGAGGGAUUGGUCAAAUUAUACUUUAUAGUGAUUCCCCUAGAUUAGUGCAUUGGUUAUUGUGCAAUGACAACCUUUUUUUGGCUCUCAAAGGUCAAUAAUUUCUCAAACAUGCCAAGUCUGUACAUGUUUAAUAAUCUUUUAUUUUGCUUUUCUAGAUUGCCAAUCAUUCCUGUUGAACUACAUUGUUCAUUACAAUGAAUCAGAUGCAGAUCUUACAACUAUGUUAAUUUGUUCACCUGAUUGGGGAAAACCUGAGACUAUUUGAUCUUAUAUUGGAAAGCCUACCAAUUUUACAUAGCCUCAGGCAAUGUUUAUAUAAUUAAUCUUGAGUAAUAGAGAUGCUGUACCCCCUGACGGAGUGACCUUACUACCUGGAUCAUCCCACUAGGCAAGACAAGUUCAAAACUUUCCAUGCAAACACUUGCAUGGCAGUUGCUAUAAUAGGAUAUGAAUAUAGUUUUGCCUUGCCAGGGUGGCUCGGGGGGGGGGGUAGGAUUUCCCUAGUACCCGGAGACCAUAUAGACAGGCCGUCGGAUUACUGUAAUAGUUUAAUUGAGGUUCAAAAAAGCAGCCCCCCCCCCAAAGUGGUAGGCCUGCUCCCCAAAUCCAGCCCCCCUUGGAAGAUGUACUGUAAAGCUAGACAAUUUUACUUGUUAACCCAACUUUAUUAUUCUGUCUAACACCGGACGAUCCAGUUAACCCAUUGAGUUGCAUUGCAUGUGCCCUGAUGCACCCUACUUUAUUAUUUUACUCUGUCUAACGCCAGACGAUUUUACUCGUCAAGGGGUGAGCACACUUUAACAUGCAAAGUAUUAAUUGGGAAUACUUUCUCUUUUAAUGGGAAACUCUUUAUCAAUAAAAGGAACAAUGCAAUUAUUCUGUAGUAUUUAAUUUUUCAUAU
rnacentral:lncRNA from 1 species